CGACGAGAGGUGUGAAGGGGAAAGGUCGAUAGGACAACGAAGGAAAAGGGGAUACGGGAGCAACGAAAUCCGAUGGCGAGAAGGAAGCUCGCAGGCGUGCGACUGCUACUCCGGACGUCUUGGCCGAUCACGAAUAUGGAGACGGCUCCGGUGCUUGGCCGAACCGAAGGAGGGGAAGAGACGAAAUCAGCGAGGCUCUCUCUUUCUCGUCCGGCGAUUGCAGACUCAUCGCACCAGAGAGGCAUGCUCCGGUGGUCGACUAGAUCGAAGAAAAGGAACGGUCCAUGGGUGUGGCCAGCAGUAGCAGCGAUGAGGUGAGACCUUCGGAGUUCUGGGGUUGUUGGCAACCGAAGAGGAAGAAGGCGAGGGCACAGGAGGCCUCGGUGGUGUUUCCUCGACAAUCACGAUGUCUCCCCCUCGUUUUGGCAGUUCCGAUCAAGUAAUCAACAAUAGGAAAGAAGGAAGAACGAGGGAUGCUGCUACUCCAUGGAAUUGAAGAAUGAGAAAGGAUGUGAGGGGGGUCCUGAAGCUUCAACUAAAACAAGGAUCACGUUAUGUGUGUGGUUAUCCUUGUGUAUUGAUGUGUAUAAAAAUAUGUUUAUUUUUGUGUGUAAAAUUGUAUAAGCCUUUGUGUGUGGUUUUAGAUGUGCAAGAUUUAGUAGUUGUCUUUUAUUUAUAAUGUGUUUAUUUUUGUGUCUAAAAGCUCCUGUGUAAUGUUUAGGUCGUGGUGAUUCAAAUCUCCAUGAAGUGACAUUUAAAGUUUCACGUUUAAUUAAGAUGA